GAUAACAAAAGCUGCGGCACGUGCAUCCCCACUUCGAAUGGGAUCUUCCAAAAGGUUCCGCGGGAAAGCAAAGCGGGACGCGUGUGCUUCACAGAAUUUCGUCGCGUCAAAACGAGAAUGACGGAUAAGACACCAACCUACGAACAAACAAAUGUGUUUCCGUUUUAGCUUACGAGCACAUUGUGCCUCGUGAAAUCACGAGAAAUGAAUGAUACGUAGUAUGUUUAUUUUGGACUGAAUAUUUUUGAGAAUGCUACCGUAUACAAUAACAAUAUUAAAAUUGGAAAUUUGAUUAGUUUUAUGGACUUUUAUUUUAUUCUGGCAUUAUCGGAUUGAAAAAAUUGAAAACACGUGCGAUGGUAGUAACAGAAAACUAUGCCGUAUAGUGGCAGGCAAUGAUAGGCUUUUCUAGAAAAAAUUGACGGUGUAGUUUUUCAUGCGUUCGAUGCAGGUGUGCAAAUUGAGAACUGCGAAUGCAGAAAUUUUCCUUUGAAAUAUUUUUCUCAAACUUUAAACUAAAAACUCUAUACGUUUCGCACUUUAUUAAUUUUUAAAUCUGUAAAUUUAAAAAUAUGAAAAUUUUAAAAAAUACAAAUGAUAUAAAAUGAAAGAGGUACAUUUGUUCUCGACCGUAGGAAAUCUUCGCUGCACCCAAUGUACACACGAUAACACUACGUCACGCGGGUGUUUGUGAAACUUUAGAGUGUUGGGACUUUCCGGUCUAACAAAUCGUUACCCACACUGUCAGAUGAUUUCUAAAUCGGAUGCGAAAUCUAUGUCAAAGCAAACGAAAGAUUAACGUUCCGCUGACGACACGUGGUGCCGGUUACAAACGUCAUAUCUACUACCUCGUCGAAGGGAUUUAGUAAUUCUGGAACACGUGAAAAAUAUCCGUUCGCGGCAUAUAUAUCGUUCGAAAAGGAAACACCUCUCUUUUCUACCACGAGUUGGGUAAUCAGCUGUCGGCACGUUUUCCGGUUAUUUCCAACGUGAUAACCGUUAAUAUUCAACCUAACUUGACUACAGGUAAUCCAGUUGUGCCCAACAAAAUGUCGUAACGAAAAUUAAUAGAAUUAUUACGGUAUUACCUGAUCGUUUAUUUUCUACUGCAAUUAAACAUCUGCUUGUAACGUAUUAAGAAUUCAUUCUUACUACGAACACAUAAUUUAUGGCCGAACGAUAAUCGUGCCGUUGGAAACGCUGCACGUUUCUAUGUGUAUUUUUAAACACCGUAUUAAAGAGUUCUAUUGCUCUUACAAUAGUAUCUAUAGUCGCACGUGGUCGCCCGAAGGUAUAUACGUUUGAUGACGCGUUUAACGUCAAACACCGUUACGGAAUAUUUUCUCUGUAAUCGACAAUAUCGGUAGUUCGCUAAAAUCGUCAAAAUAAAAACUCUGUUUUUGUUGUCCGCUCGUUCUCUAACGCUUCACGGAUGUUUUGAUGUUUUAAAAACACCAGCGACUUGCGCAACGGGAAUUUCAACAUAUUUCAACCCGAGUUCUAUGACAUCGACCUACCAAACGGAAAAGGGAGAUACCCUACGUCGAGCCAAUUUAGCUUUCAUUACAUAUUAUAUACUUUGACCUUUGACUACAGUUUUUCACUCUAUGCCGUGUAAAUAAUUCCAUUACAUAUUUUCUAGAUUCUGCUUUUAUGGAGUCCUCAGACGGGUGAAGUAUAAAUUGUCAGUAUUUCAGGGAUCACAAUGUUUAUUGUUUAAAAAUUCAGUUUUUUAAACUUUGACAAUUUGGGAAUGUGAAGAUUUGAGAACUUGGAAAUUUGUGGAUCUGAAAGUUUGAACUAAAGGAACACGAGAAAGAGGGGUCGGUCGGGUAAUGAUUCGAGAGUGCGUGCAGAAAAGCAUCCUAAGAGCGAGAGAGAGAAAGAAAGGGAGAGAGAAGGGGAAAAAGAGAGGCAUUGACAACGUGAUCGAAAAGAAAAAGGACAGGAGGUCAGAGGAAGAAGGGGAAGGAAAUCGCACGUGUAACCAACUUCCCCACUCCUGGUCAGUUUCUCGGUUGAAAGGAGCGUCCUUCACCAAUCUUCCCGUCCCUUCUGGUACUCCGACCUUUUUCAACCGUGACGAAGAUCGCGAAGAUCUGCAAUCAACCAGGGUCAUUUGCACAUGCCUCCACGUGGCUUGCACAUUUAAUCAGUGCAUACUCGACGAUUACUAAAACGAUGUAUGCAGCGUUCAUUAUAAACAUUUCGUAGUUAACACGUAGUCUUAACGAAACACGUAUGCAAGUUAUAAAAAAUGUACAUUUCAAUGUACACCAAAACAUCCAAAUUUUGCAUAAUAAUCUUUUUUGAAUUUUAUAUUUGAUCCUUGGCAAAUAAACGUUAGGAAAUAUGUAAUAAUUUUAGAAAGUGGAUUGUACAUACUUAUCAAAAUGACACAAGUAAUAUUGUAUUUUAUUGAAGAUUGUAGUAAAUAAGCGGUGGUCAUAUACACGGUGAAAAAAAGAAAAAUAAAUAAUGAGAAUCAUUGACAUUUGGUAAAUGUCUACUUUCGAUUAUCAUAGGUUUUUCUAGGGAAAUAACAGUGGAGAGGUCUCAUCAUUAAUAAAGUUCUAACUAAUAAAUUUUUAAAUUUACAAUUUUUUGAUACAGGUAUGAUGUGAUCUUCCUUAUCUACUGUAAGCUUAUUCAAUGUUAAUAUAUCGACCCAUAGAGGUCGGUAUAAACUAAUCACAAAUCAAAU